AUACAGAGGUCCCAAGCGUUGUUCGGAAUCACUGGGCGUAAAGGGUGCGUAGGCGGUAUGGUAAGACUUGGGUGAAAUCUCCAUGCUUAACGUGGAGGGAGCCUGGGAGACUGCCGUGCUAGAGGAUUGGAAGGGAGACUGGAAUUCUUGGAGUAGCAGUGAAAUGCGUAGAUAUCAAGAGGAACACCAGUGGCGAAGGCGAGUCUCUGGACAAGACCUGACGCUGAGGCACGAAGGCCAGGGGAUCAAACGGGAUUAGAUACCCCGGUAGUCCUGGCAGUAAACGGUGCACACUUGCUGUGUGAGGGAUCGACCCCUUACGUGGCGAAGCAAACGCGAUAAGUGUGCCGCCUGGGGAGUACGGUCGCAAGACUAAA
rnacentral:rRNA from 1 species